GGGAUUGCCUCAGUAACGGCGAGUGAAGCGGCAACAGCUCAAAUUUGAAAUCUGGCCUUUCAGGGUCCGAGUUGUAAUUUGUAGAGGAUGUUUCGGCCACGACCCCGGGUUAAAUUUCUUGGAACAGAAUGUCAGAGAGGGUGAGAACCCCGUCCUGACUCGGGCGUACGGGUCAUGUGGAACUCCUUCGACGAGUCGAGUUGUUUGGGAAUGCAGCUCAAAAUGGGUGGUAAAUUUCAUCUAAAGCUAAAUAUUGGCCAGAGACCGAUAGCGCACAAGUAGAGUGAUCGAAAGAUGAAAAGCACUUUGAAAAGAGAGUUAAACAGUAUGUGAAAUUGUUGAAAGGGAAGCGCUUACAACCAGACUUGAGCGCGACGGUUCCCCCUGGCUUCUGCCUGGGUUACUCCGUCGUGUCCAGGCCAACAUCGGUUCCAGGGGUCGGUUAAAGGCCUUGGGAAUGUAUCCCUUCGGGGUCGACUUAUAGCCCAGGGUGUCAUGCGACCACCCGGGACCGAGGAACGCGCUUCGGCUCGGAUGU
rnacentral:rRNA from 1 species